rnacentral:lncRNA from 1 species
GAAGCAUGCUCAUGGCAAUACCCGGAGUCUCCACUGCAAGACCAGAGUGACGGAGGCAGCAGAGCUCCUCAGCAGGCCAGGAGUCUCCAGAGGCACUGCCGAAUGUCUAAGAAGCAACCUCAUUGUAUUCCCAAGACCUGGGAAUCCAGGUCUCGCAGAUACGAUGAUACAAUCUAUAGCCAGGACAUCUCUUCAUGUGUAGUUUUCAAUGAAUACUAGGAUAAGCAACUAUCCCAGUCUUCCCAGGAUUGAG